CAGCAGCCACGGUAAUACGGAGGGUGCAAGCGUUACUCGGAAUCACUGGGCGUAAAGGACGCAUAGGCGGAUUAUCAAGUCUCUUGUGAAAUCUAACGGCUUAACCGUUAAGCUGCUUGGGAAACUGAUAAUCUAGAGUAAGGGAGAGGCAGAUGGAAUUCUUGGUGUAGGGGUAAAAUCCGUAGAUAUCAAGAAGAAUACCUAUUGCGAAGGCGAUCUGCUGGAACUUAACUGACGCUAAUGCGUGAAAGCGUGGGGAGCAAACAGGAUUAGAUACCCCAGUAGUCCCUGUCUCUUAUAC
rnacentral:rRNA from 1 species